ACUAAAUUAGUUUAAGGAAAGAACAUUAGAUUGUGGUUCUAAUAGCAAAAAUUAUUUUAUUUAGUA
rnacentral:tRNA from 1 species